rnacentral:rRNA from 1 species
UACGAAGGGUGCAAGCGUUACUCGGAAUCACUGGGCGUAAAGCGUGCGUAGGCGGUUUCUUAAGUCUGUCGUGAAAGCCCUGGGCUCAACCUGGGAACGGCGAUGGAUACUGGGAAGCUAGAAUGUGAGAGAGGAUGGUGGAAUUCCCGGUGUAGCGGUGAAAUGCGUAGAGAUCGGGAGGAACACCAGUGGCGAAGGCGGCCUCCUGGCUCAACAUUGACGCUGAGGCACGAAAGCGUGGGGAGCAAACAGG